UCGAACUACACCUUCGCCGGGACGACCC
rnacentral:sRNA from 1 species